rnacentral:sRNA from 1 species
GGCGCUUCAGGUGGCUCUGGGCCGAAAGUUCUGAGGACAGACCAGAAGUGGAAAGCCGUGGAGGUCAUGUGUGAGUCAAUGGGUCGUGCCUGAAGUCUGGCCGGUC